CAAUAGCGUAUAUUAAAGUUGUUGCAGUUAAAAAGCUCGUAGUUGGAUUUCGGGGCAGCCUGGCUGGUCCGCCGCAAGGCGAGUACUGGUCAGCCGCCCUUCCUCUCGAAAGCCCCGACUGCUCUUCGUUGCAGUGGUCGGGUAGUUCGGGACGUUUACUUUGAAAAAAUUAGAGUGUUCAAGGCAGGCCUACGCCUGAAUACAUUAGCAUGGAAUAAUGGAAGAGGACCUCGGUCCUAUUUUGUUGGUUUCCAGGGCCGAAGUAAUGAUUAAGAGGGACAGUUGGGGGCAUUCGUAUUCAAUUGUCAGAGGUGAAAUUCUCGGAUUUAUGAAAGACGAACAACUGCGAAAGCAUUUGCCAAGGAUGUUUUCAUUAA
rnacentral:rRNA from 1 species